rnacentral:rRNA from 1 species
UUUUAUUUAAUUUAUUAUUUAAUUUAAAUUAUUUAUAAAUAAAUAAUAAUUUAAAUUUGAUUGGGAGGAUUAGUAAAUUUAAUAAACUUUAUUUUUAAAUUUAAUUUUGAUUUAAAGAUAUAAAAAUGAUUUAUAAUUUAUAAAUAUAAGAAUAAAUUACCUUAGGGAUAACAGCGUAAUAUCUUUUGAUAGGUCAUAUUGAU